rnacentral:rRNA from 1 species
GAUGAACGCUGGCGGCGUGCCUAAUACAUGCCAGUCGAGCGAACAGAUAAGGAGCUUGCUCCUUUGACGUUAGCGGCGGACGGGUGAGUAACACGUGGAUAACCUACCUAUAAGACUGGGAUAACUUCGGGAAACCGGAGCUAAUACCGGAUAAAAUAUUGAACCGCAUGGUUCAAUAGUGAAAGGCGGCUUUGCUGUCACUUAUAGAUGGAUCCGCGCCGUAUUAGCUAGUUGGUAAGGUAACGGCUUACCAAGGCAACGAUACGUAGCCGACCUGAGAGGGUGAUCGGCCACACUGGAACUGAGACACGGUCCAGACUCCUACGGGAGGCAGCAGUAGGGAAUCUUCCGCAAUGGGCGAAAGCCUGACGGAGCAACGCCGCGUGAGUGAUGAAGGUCUUCGGAUCGUAAAACUCUGUUAUCAGGGAAGAACAAAUGUGUAAGUAACUGUGCACAUCUUGACGGUACCUGAUCAGAAAGCCACGGCUAACUACGUG